rnacentral:tRNA from 1 species
AAGGUUACAAGCACGAAAAGAAAACUUCUAACUUUCUUCUUAAGCGGUUAAACUCCGUUUUAACCUUU